UUUUGGUACAGACCAUCAAGGCCCUGCUCUGCUGUCUGCAGUGGGACAAUGAGGUGGUGUCAGUGGAGCGCAAGCGUGGCUGGGACACGCUCCUCUGUGCUGACACCCAGCACUAUGCAGUGGGGCUGCUGGCCAGGGAGAUGCGCCACGUCUUGGUCUCUUUCUAUUCCCCCAUGGCAAUCCACCUGCUGGGGCUGCUCAGCACUGAGGACCCUCGUUGGGAGCUGCCUGCCCUGGCCUUCCUUGUCGAGGUCCUGGACUUUCUGGAUGGGAGGAAAUUUCGUGACAGGGUCCUGCCCAUCCUGUCAAGGAACCUGCGGAGCCAGUGCCCAGAGAG